rfam:Camelus ferus unplaced genomic scaffold scaffold2244, whole genome shotgun sequence.
GGGGGUCUAGCCCAGUGGUAGAGUGUGUGCUUAGCAUGCAUGAGGUCCUAGGUUCAAUCCCCAGAACCUCCC